ACACCAGGAAUAAGCCAGAGCUAAGAUUGGCAAUCAAAGUUUUGCAUAGAAAUAUAUAGGGAAAAACCUUCUACUCAUAUGGAUCAAUCCAUGAGUAGUCUACUAGAUUCUAAAUUGUUCAAAUAAUGACCCGUGGGGUAGGGCCACAAUAGUUAAUCCAAGUUUUACAUUGAAAUAUUUAGAACAAGUCUUUGAACAAGUCUUUGAAAGUCUUCUCAAAAACCACUGGGCCAAGAAAGCUGAAACUUAACUUGGGAAAUUUUGAUUCUUGAUAGUCUGAAUCAUGCCCCCCCCGGGCGAAGGGUAAGUCUACAACAGGUAUUGAAUUGGGAAAAUCUGAGAACAGCAUUGCCACUUACAAAGGUGCGCGUUGCGGCCCAUGGAUCUCUUGAUAUGAGUUUUAAUGGGGUAUGACAGGGGGUGGGUACGUAAUAAAAUACUUCAUAAUGUUCUUAUCUUCAUGCCAUAUCUCAAAGAAACUCUAAAAAUGAUCUUAUCUCUUUAAAGUAUCUUAACGCAGAUUUAUUUUAAGUGUUAAAGUUUUCGCCAUUUUUUUUUUUUCAAAGUGACGAAGUUGUCAAAAAAAGUAUUUCAAAGUAUCAAAGUGUUUGAUAAAGUUUUUCAAAGUGUCCAAGUGUUCGCCAAAGUUUUUCAAAGUUGUAGUAGAUAACUAUAGUAAAUUAGAGUUAACUAUAUUAUAUUUUGGUUAAGGUUAUUGAAACUGUCUACUCUACCUGCGUGGCUGAGAAUCGCAAGUUAUGGAAACAUGUCGGUUUUUAAGCAAACGUAAAUAAUGGAGCAAAAUUAACACCAUUUGACGGGUAUUUGUCUAAACUUGAAGGAUUAUGAAGCUUUUUUUGAUUUUAAAUGUUGUUAUAUAACAUUUAGAUUUACCACAUGCCUUCUCUGCAGGUGACUAUACCAGAAUAUUUUCUACUCGGUGACAGGAAAACCUUUUUUGAAUGUUAUAUCACCCUCUGUCUUCUGCACCUGGUAAAAUAAUACUCCAGUGAUGUCCUGUCACUAUGGUGCAAAUAUCUUGCUAUGUCAACUUCGAAGCCAUCUGACAUCAUAUGCAUAAUGUAUCGAUUUACAACAUGUCUAAACGCCACACCUAAUCAAGCUAAUUAAUUAGUUAUAUUGAGCAGUCACAGUUAUCUACUAGGUCACGAAUAGCGUUAGAACAAUAAAGAACCCAUAUCAGUUAUGAACGAAAGUGACUGGUAUAACUCUAAAGUUGAAGUCUUAUUCCGGCCACUGCAACAUAUUUAUAUGAUUUAAAAAUCUUCAAUGAAAAAUACAACAGCACACAAUCAGUUAUAUAAAAUUUGAAUCGAAAUACGAAAUAAAAUUCAUUGUUUCAAAUGUCAAGACCAACAACAAUAUAGGAACUCAUCGGGCCUUUCUUGACCUGCGAAAAAAAAAUCUCAAAUGUAUUACGUAGACGACAUUACACCCCUCUUUUUUUUCUCAAACUUUGCAAUAAACAUGGACAGACCUCUUAUCUCUGGAGUAUAGAGUUAAACUUUAUUAAAUGUAAAGAUAUUACCUAAAAUAUACUAUCAACUAGGGACAAAAAGAAAAAGAAAACUAUUAGAUCCGUAUAUCAUAUUUUUUAAUCAACAGGAAGAUGUAUACAUUCCAAUGAUGCUUGUACAUUCGGAGUUGUUUUUCCCAGGUCUGACGGAAAUGCCCGAGAUGAUGCGAUUGGACUUAGUGUCAGACGUUUAAUAGAUCAAGGAAAGAAGAAUAACAAUACUAUUGGUUCACUAUAGAAAAUAUAGAAAAAACAAUACUAUAGUGGAAGCUACAUGAAUUGAGAGAUCUGCAAAGAAAAUUUCCAAGGAUGUGCUGAAUGACUGUGGUGUUAUAGGACUACCGUUGACAAAUUCAAAGUUUGUAAAAUUUGUACUUAAAACAUUUCAAGGACAUACAUACGAAUGCGUCAUAAAAUACUUAGACCCUUACUUAAGUCAAAAACCUAGAACAUUUUAUGUUUUACAAAGAAUAGCCAGUGAAGUAUGAUGAAUAACUAUACCAAUAACCAUAACUCUGUACUAUGUUCAUUUAUUUGUCUAUUUUUAAACAUUUGUUUUGGUAAUUUUGACAGUUACUACAGAAUGAGAUGGCAACGUUUUAUAGAAUUGUGAAGAUAAUUACGUUCAAAAACAGGUUUACAUUUUUCUUUUUAUUUGGAGAAGAUUAAGACAUACAUUCAGAAACUUAAAUAUCAGAUUUACUGUCUAAUUACAAUAAUUACAUUCAUAUAUCUGUAUCUUACACAGAAACUAAAAUUUUAAGUUUGUUUUACAGAAAUUUAUACUAAAUGUACUGAUAUUUUUUGACAGAUUUCAAAGGAAGGGCUGAAUAACUGUAAUUGAUGAAGAAAUUGCUUAUCCACAGGUUCCAGGUGGUGUAUUUUAAAGUGUAGUUUAGGAAAGAAGAGGACAUCCAAAUUGUUCAGGUGAAUUUAAGUUUAAGCUUACCUGAGUCGAAGGUCGAAAUUUGUCCGAUGUCGUUCUUCGUUGUAAGCGUUGUUGCCAGGUUUUCUCAAUUCCAUCUUCUUUUCCAAAACCACACGACCAACUAACAUCAAACAUGGCACAAAGUAUCCUAUGAAGGAGAAUCAAGUUCAAUUGAAGGGCCACACUCUCUUUCAUUGGGAGAUAAUUUAGGAUACGUGAAAAUAUUAGUGAAAAUGAAUGGCAUUUUCAAAAAAAUAUUCUUCUGAAGAAGUCUUGGGCCAGCAAUCAAAAAACUUUGGAUGAAUUAUCUUUAGGUUAUAAAGAUUUAAAAUUGGUCGAAUCAUAACCACUAGCGCAAAGGAUGGGGUUAUAAAGCCACAAAGCUUGACAUACAAAUGUAUAGGAGUUUCUAGGAAUCUUUUCUAUUGAGAACAGCAGCGUCAAUAAUGAUCAUUUAAAAACACUGUCCAUAUAGCACUAAACACUGGCCAUCUGUCAAUUCUGGUGUGUGAAUGGCCUUUUAUCUACAUUAUAUCUACAUCUGACAUAC